CCUACGGGUGGCAGCAGUGGGGGAUAUUGGACAAUGGGGGAAACCCUGAUCCAGCGACGCCGCGUGAGUGAAGAAGUAUUUCGGGAUGUAAAGCUCGUUCAGCAGGGAAGAAAGAAAUGACGGUACCUGACCAAGAAUCCCCGGCUAACUACGUGCCAUCAACCUCGGUAAUACGAAGGGGGCAAGCGUUAUCCGGAAUUACUGGGUGUAAAGGGAGCGUAGACGGUGAUGCAAGUCUGGAGUGAAAGGCGGGGGCCCAACCCCCGGACUGCUCUGGAAACUGUGUAACUUGAGUGCAGGAGAGGUAAGCGGAAUUCCUAGUGUAGCGGUGAAAUGCGUAGAUAGUAGGAGGAACAACAGUGGCGAAGGCGGCUUACUGGACUGUAACUGACGUUGAGGCUCGAAAGCGUGGGGAGCAAACAGGAUUAGAUACCCGAGUAGUC
rnacentral:rRNA from 1 species